rnacentral:rRNA from 1 species
AUUGAACGCUGGCGGCAGGCCUAACACAUGCAAGUCGAGCGGAUGAAGGGAGCUUGCUCCUGGAUUCAGCGGCGGACGGGUGAGUAAUGCCUAGGAAUCUGCCUGGUAGUGGGGGAUAACGUCCGGAAACGGGCGCUAAUACCGCAUACGUCCUGAGGGAGAAAGGGGGGGAUCUUCGGACCUCACGCUAUCAGAUGAGCCUAGGUCGGAUUAGCUAGUUGGUGGGGUAAAGGCCUACCAAGGCGACGAUCCGUAGCUGGUCUGAGAGGAUGAUCAGUCACACUGGAACUGAGACACGGUCCAGACUCCUACGGGAGGCAGCAGUGGGGAAUAUUGGGCAAUGGGCGAAAGCCUGAUGGAGCCACGCCGCGUGUGUGAAGAAGGUCUUCGGAUCGUAAAGCACUUUAAGUUGGGAGGAAGGGCAGUAAGUGAAUACCUGGCUGUUUUGACGGUACCAACAGAGAAAGCACCGGCUAACUUCGUG